rnacentral:rRNA from 1 species
GAUGAACGCUGGCGGCGUGCCUAAUACAUGCAAGUCGAGCGAACAGACGAGGAGCUUGCUCCUCUGACGUUAGCGGCGGACGGGUGAGUAACACGUGGAUAACCUACCUAUAAGACUGGGAUAACUUCGGGAAACCGGAGCUAAUACCGGAUAAUAUAUUGAACCGCAUGGUUCAAUAGUGAAAGACGGUUUUGCUGUCACUUAUAGAUGGAUCCGCGCCGCAUUAGCUAGUUGGUAAGGUAACGGCUUACCAAGGCGACGAUGCGUAGCCGACCUGAGAGGGUGAUCGGCCACACUGGAACUGAGACACGGUCCAGACUCCUACGGGAGGCAACAGUAGGGAAUCUUCCGCAAUGGGCGAAAGCCUGACGGAGCAACGCCGCGUGAGUGAUGAAGGUCUUGGGAUCGUAAAACUCUGUUAUUAGGGAAGAACAAAUGUGUAAGUAACUAUGCACGUCUUGACGGUACCUAAUCAGAAAGCCACGGCUAACUACGUG